CAGGAUGAACGCUAGCUACAGGCUUAACACAUGCAAGUCGAGGGGCAGCAUUGGGAUAGCUUGCUAUCCAGAUGGCGACCGGCGCACGGGUGAGUAACGCGUAUCCAACCUUCCCUAUAGUAGAGAAUAGCCCGGCGAAAGUCGGAUUAAUGCUCUAUGUUGUGUUUUGAGGACAUCUGACGAACACCAAAGGUUCACCGCUAUAGGAUGGGGAUGCGUCUGAUUAGCUUGUUGGCGGGGUAACGGCCCACCAAGGCGACGAUCAGUAGGGGUUCUGAGAGGAAGGUCCCCCACAUUGGUACUGAGACACGGACCAAACUCCUACGGGAGGCAGCAGUGAGGAAUAUUGGUCAAUGGGCGAGAGCCUGAACCAGCCAAGUAGCGUGCAGGAUGACUGCCCUAUGGGUUGUAAACUGCUUUUAUCAGGGAAUAAAGUGCGGCACGUGUGCCGUUUUGUAUGUACCUGAUGAAUAAGGACCGGCUAAUUCCGUGCCAGCAGCUGC
rnacentral:rRNA from 1 species